CCCUUCUGAAGACCUUCCAGAAACACUCUUCCAGUGUGUGAGGUCCCUCCUCCGCCCCACCAUGGAGCCCUAGGCCACUGCAAGUACAGCCCUUGCCACGUUUCAUUGUCAUCAUGAAUCUGACCCUCUCCCACCAGACCAUGAGCUGCCGGACAGCAGUCACCUCCACAGCCUCAGUGUCCAGCAGUCUGCUAUAUUCUAUUCUCAAAGUCUGUGUGGAUCUGUGUCUGUGUACACCAUGGCCCCAUCUCCCAGCAGCUCCCAUGGCUCGUAUCCAUGGAAACGCAGUCUUCCCCAAUGAUGGUACUCUGGCUGACAAACACCGGGAGUCUCCCCAGCCCCCUACCCAUCUUGGAGAGGCAGCGUGGACCCCGGCAGCUCCCAGCGAGCAGGAGGGUGUCACUGCUGGAGGAGUUUGCAGAUCUGCUUCCUGGAGGAGGUGAUUCUCACUGCAGACCCCGCAAGGUGCCCCCAUGACCACCCCUCCAGCUCCAGAGCCUAGGCAAUGUGGAGGCCUGCAGCAUACCUCGCUGGACACUUUGACCUUGACUCUCCUUCCUCCCUGAACAGCAGGACUGAGUGGAUUGGUGGACAGAAUGCCCAGAAUGAGAACCUACUUUGCCAUCUAAGCUCCAGGUCCCUGCUCUGUGAGGCUAUAAGGAACUCAUCCCUGAGUCCAGCCUUCUGGGGGCUGCUCCCGGGAUCCCCUGGGCAAGGAUGUUCUAUGUCCUGUGACAACUUGGCACAGCCAAACUGUUUCACGUGGCACUGGGAUCUCUCAGAAUGUUCAAUAAACCCUGAACAAAUGAAUGAGCAAACAGACGAUGGCUCACUGAAUAUCUACAACCCCUACUACAGGUACCGGCACGUAAAGGUAAAAAGACACCUUGUCUGCUGAGGGAGGCUGACAUACACACGCAACAUUACAUCUUUGGGUGAUAAAUGCAGUGCUGAAGUGGCCCAGGGUAUUGUGGGAGCACAAAUAUGGUCUAACAGGUAGACCACGAUUUCGUCUCGUCCAUCUUGAUGUGUGGUGAAGGAGGAAGCCGUCAUUUCUUGGAAGAGGUGGCAUACACUGAGUUCUGAAGGAUAAGUAAGAGUUAGCCAGGAGUUGCAGAGCUGGGAGAGUGUGCAGGGAGUAAGAAAUGCUUGUGCAAUUGCACAGAGGGGCUAGAGACAAUGAGGUCCCUAAUCUCAGUCUGUUAGUGACGUCACUGACACUCUCGGCCUUACUUCCAGGGCAUUUCCCGCUCCAGGAAGGUCCUGGACUCAGUGCACUGGAAACUCAAAGUCUCCACCUCCCCUGUAAGGACAAAGAUCAAGGGGAAGUGAUCUCUUUCCACCUGAGCUUAGCAUUUUUAAACUGG